CAUGUACUCCCUCCGUUCGGAAUUACUUGUCUCGGAAAUGGAUGUAUCUAGAACAUCUAGAUACAUCCAUUUCCGAGACAAGUAAUUCCGAACGGAGGGAGUAAUAU
rnacentral:pre_miRNA from 1 species